AAAAGGCGGCGUAAGCUGUCGCUAAAGGAUGGACCCGCGGUGCAUUAGCUAGUUGGUAAGGUAACGGCUUACCAAGGCGACGAUGCAUAGCCGAGUUGAGAGACUGAUCGGCCACAUUGGGACUGAGACACGGCCCAAACUCCUACGGGAGGCAGCAGUAGGGAAUCUUCCACAAUGGGCGAAAGCCUGAUGGAGCAACGCCGCGUGAGUGAAGAAGGUUUUCGGAUCGUAAAGCUCUGUUGUUGGUGAAGAAGGAUAGAGGUAGUAACUGGCCCCUAUUUGACGGUAAUCAACCAGAAAGUCACGGCUAACUACGUGCCAGCAGCCGCGGUAAUACGUAGGUGGCAAGCGUUGUCCGGAUUUAUUGGGCGUAAAGCGAGCGCAGGCGGAAAGAUAAGUCUGAUGUGAAAGCCCCCGGCUUAACCGAGGAAUUGCAUCGGAAACUGUGUUUCUUGAGUGCAGAAGAGGAGAGUGGAACUCCAUGUGUAGCGGUGGAAUGCGUAGAUAUAUGGAAGAACACCAGUGGCGAAGGCGGCUCUCUGGUCUGUAACUGACGCUGAGGCUCGAAAGCAUGAGUAGCGAACAGGAUUAGAUACCCUGGUAGUCCAUGCCGUAAACGAUGAGUGCUAAGUGUUGGGAGGUUUCCGCCUCUCA
rnacentral:rRNA from 1 species